rnacentral:rRNA from 1 species
AGUGAACGCUGGCGGCAGGCCUAACACAUGCAAGUCGAACGGCAGCACAGUAAGUGCUUGCGCUUACGGGUGGCGAGUGGCGGACGGUGGAGGUAGACAUCGGAAUCUUCUUUUUCGGGGGGGCUAACGUAGGUAAACUUACUCUAAUACCGCAUACGACGUACGUGUGUAAGCGGGGGAUCUUUUGGCCUGUCGGGAUUGAAUGAGCCGAUGUCGGAUUGGCUAGUUGGCGGGUUAAAGGCCAAGCAAGGCGACGAUCGGUAGCUGGUCUGAGAGGAUGAUCAGCCACCCUGGAAGAGAGGCACGGCCCAGACACCUACGGGAGGCAGCAGUCGGGAAUAGUGGACAAGGGAGGCGAGCCUGAUACAGCAAUACAGAGUGGGUGAAGAAGGCGUUCGGGUUGUAAAGCCAUUUUGUUGGGAAAGAAAAGCAGCAGGUUAAUACCCCGCUGUUCUGACGGUACCGAGAGAAUAAGCACCGGCUAACUUCGUG